rnacentral:lncRNA from 1 species
CCCGUGGGAGCAGUUCGGGGCCCGGCACGACUUCCGCAUGGACACCUCCUCCUCGGGGUGCAGAGUGAUGAUGUCACAGGUCGCGGCGCUCAGGCAGUGAGCAGUCUCGUGCGCUCUGAGGCGCAGUUGCUAUGGCGUCAUCGUCACGCAUGUGCUGUCGCCGUGGCGGCAGUUCAAAGUGCGCCCUGCGUGAGAGGGCGCACUGUCGCCAUGGCAACGCGGCCUGCACACAGGACCUGAAGCCUGAGUGGGCCUCGUGGGGCAGAGGGGUGGCGAAGAAGAUGUGUGGGGGAACGGAGAACCCUCAGGGAUCUUCUGGGGAGGUACCCGAGGAGGAAAAUGCAGACCUAACCACUGUGCCUGGCAGUAUCCCUCCUCGCCUUGGCUGUUUUUGCAGGACAUCUGUGGCACCCUCAACAUCACUGCUUUGGGCAGCUGUUCUCCUCUUGCUUACAACCUCAGUAGUCUCUGAGUGCUUUAUCACAUGUUAUGACUGGGAGCGCACAUUUAUAACUUUAAGUUAUCAGACGGCUCCUGUAUUCCUCCUUAGCAAUUUUUAGGUCCGUGGCAGUCCAGCUAGCCUUGAGAGCUGGCUGUGGACUGAAUCUCCUAUAUGCGUCCGAGUGGUUAGUAAGCAAAUACAGUGAAGUUAGGAAUGACUCCUUUUGGAGUGAGGAUGCACAGCCUUGGACCAUUCAAUACCAACAAGUUCUUUACUAUGAGAAUGAUAUACAUAGGCAUAUCUGUGGUCAGUAGCGAGGUCGAGUAGAAGGAAUAUACAGUCUUUUGAGAUCAGUGUGUUCAGCUUUCCUUUCCAUUACCCAUCACCUAAGUCCUGUGCAUUCAUGUUGUCUGAGUUGUCUGAGGUCUUUUGGAAAAUUCCUAGUGCAGUUCAGAGAAUUAACAGCCUAAAAAAAGGAUGUAGGAGGAAAGCAACAACCAAGAAAAAUCCCAACAGCAUCAACUUGAGGCAAGGGCAGCUCAUGAUAGAAGUGGACAGUAUCACAGUGUGAGUGAAGGUCAGCGUAGGAGCAGCUGCUGAUGGGAGGAAGGAAGUCCAGGCUCAUGGACUCUGGAGCAUCUCCCAGUACAGUACCAGAGGAGGCAGGAAUGAUGUUGCAGAAGAACAUGAGAAGCUCCCCAGCAGGAAGCCACAAACUCUGCAGAAAGCUACAGGAGAGGUGGAACAUGUGUGGAUGCCCAGGAGGAAGUCCAGCCCCAGUAUUUGAGCAGUGCCUGGCCAUGGAGAACUGCGGCCCAAGAACAGAGCUAUUCUGCCUUUGCCAAGAAGGACUUGUCUGUCCUUGUAAAAAGCAGAAAGCUGGCUCAUCCAAAUGCUUGCUGAUUGCUUGGGAGCUCAAAUCCUUCUGGCCUCCAACCUGGAGGCAGGCUGGGGGCAAUGUCUCCUUGGUCUGAUCCUGCGGUGCCUGAGCGAGAGCUGGCUGCGUGAGAAUGAUCUUAAUUUCUUUGU